AGCUGGGCACCCCGGCUGUUGUGUCUCAUUCCUGAUACGCGCUGGCCAUUUUCUGACCUUCUUUUCUUGGGUUCUGCGCGCCUUGCGGGCCGGCUUCCCGCAGCCAGCGCGCCGCAGCCGCCUCGUCGCGCGGCCGGUGACACUGAUACAAAUCCGUUCAAGAAUUUAGAUGUGACAUCUGCAGCAGGUUCAGAUCUCUCAGCUAUAAGACAAACUGGAUACUUCAUAAAGAUUGUCAUCUAUUAUGCGCAGAGAGCCAAAAUCCGUUACUGAGAUUGUCUGGGUGAACUGCCUGCUGGGUCCAGUGAUGCACUAGUAGACAGAGAAGUUGAAAAAGAAGGCUGGCAUAUUCUUUGGAUGACUGGCAGAAUGUGACACCAAUAUGGCAUCGAGCCCUACUGUGAUUCCAAGAACUGCAUGACUAAAUAAAAAUGAUUUUUUUGGCAGGG